rnacentral:rRNA from 1 species
CCAGACUCCUACGGGAGGCAGCAGUGGGGGAUAUUGCACAAUGGGGGGAACCCUGAUGCAGCGACGCCGCGUGGGUGAAGAAGCGCCUCGGCGCGUAAAGCCCUGUCAGCAGGGAAGAAAAUGACGGUACCUGAAGGAGAAGCCCCGGCUAACUACGUGCCAGCAGCCGCGGUAAUACGUAGGGGGCCAGCGUUAUCCGGAUUUACUGGGUGUAAAGGGAGCGUAGACGGCAAUGCAAGUCUGGAGUGAAAGCCCAGGGGCCAAACAUGGGACUGCUCUGGAAACUGGGUAGCUUGAGUGCAGGAGGGGUAAGCGGAAUUCCUAGUGUAGCGGUGAAAUGCGUAGAUAUUAGGCGGAACACCAGUGGCGAAGGCGGCUUACUGGACUGUAACUGACGUUGAGGCUCGAAAGCGUGGGGAGCAAACAGGAUUAGAUACCCCCGUAA